AUUUCCUUAUUGGAUUUUCAUUUCCUUAUUCGAUUUCCAUUUCCUUAUUCAAUUUCCAUUUCCUUAUUCGGUUUCUUUUUCCUUUUUCAAUGUUCAUUUCCUUUUUUGGUUUCUAUUUCCUAAUUGGGUUUCUGUUUUCUUAUUGGGUUUCUAUUUCCUAAUUGGGUUUCUAUUUCCUUAUUGGAUUUUCGUUUCCUUAUUCGAUUUCCAUUUCCUUAUUCGAUUUCCAUUUCCUAAUUCGGUUUCUUUUUCCUUUUUCAAUAUUCAUUUCCUUUUUCGGUUUCUAUUUCCUUAUUCGGUUUCUAUUUCCUUAUUCAGUUUCCAUUUCCUUAUUGGAUUUUCAUUUCCUUAUUGGAUUUUCAUUUCCUUAUUCGGUUUCUUUUUCCUUAUUCGGUUUCUAUUUCCUUAUUCAGUUUCCAUUUCCUUAUUGGAUUUUCAUUUCCUUAUUGGACUUUCAUUUCCUUAUUCGAUUUCCUUUUUCGAUAUUCAAAUUUUGAAAAAUAUUACAAGUCCAAACUGAAUUUUUUUUUUCCUUCAAAAUUUUUUUCCUCAAAUUUUUUUUUCCUCAAAAAGUUUUUCAAAUUUUUUUUUUCGUUUCCUUAUUCGGUUUCUUUUUCCAUAUUCGAUUUUCAUUUCCUUAUUCGGUGUCUAUUUCCUUAUUCGAUUUCCAUUUCCUAAUUCGAUUUUCAUUUCCUUAUUCGGUUUCUUUUUCCUUUUUCAAUAUUCAUUUCCUUUUUCGGUUUCUAUUUCCUUAUUCGGUUUCUAUUUCCUUAUUGGAUUUUCAUUUGCUUAUUCGAUUUCCAUUUCCUUAUUCGAUUUCUGUUUCCUUAUUCGGUUUCUAUUUCCAUAUUCGGUUUCUAUUUCCUUAGGUAGCACUCCACAGUUAAAAAAUAAAAUUAAAAAUGAGCCACAAAAUGUUUUAUCAUCUCCUAUUCCUGGAUUUCUAAUACAUUAACCUAACUGUUUGUGUUGUACAUGUGCAUAUGUAUGUAAUCAGUAUCUUCCAUAGAUUUGAUUUUCAAAAGUGAAAAGGGUGAAAAUUAAUUCCUUUUAUGUGUAUCCAUGGCAACAUUCUGCAUUUAUUUCCCAUAAAAUAUUGCAAAAAGGGGGGUGAACAUGUCACAUUUCACCCAAAAAUUUGGAUCAAACUAGAAUUUCAAUGCCUUUGAGUGAUACCUUUUCAGAAACUGUUUCCCUAAAUCUUCCUAAUGAUCAAAUAAAAAAUGGGUGUCUUUCGCCUCAUUUUUUCGUAAAAUCCAAUCACAAAGUUCGUGCGAUAAAAAGUUGGAAAAAAAACAUUGCAAUAAUUGCCGGACCAGUGUAUGGUAGGGACAUGCAAAUACGGACUGUCAUACAGAAAACAGCCUAUAUUACAUACAUUACAUAACCUUGAUGUUCAUAUAAACCCAAUACAAAGAUUAUUUUAAUACUCAGCUAUCCAAAAAUGAAUUUUAUUGCACACUAGCUCUCAUAUUUGAAAAAUUCACAGGGGCCAAAAUGCGAAACUACACAUCUAACUGUGGAGUGCUACCUUAUUCGGUUUCUAUUUCCUUAUUCGGUUUCUUUUUCCUUAUUAGGUUUCUGUUUCCUUAUUUGAUUUCUUUUUCCUUAUUAAAUUUUCAUUUCCUUAUUCGGUUACUAUUUCCUUAUAUUUACAACUAUCAAACAUCAACACACACCAAACUGGAUGUAAUUGAAAGAUAUCUAGAGGUCAAUAUACAGGCUCGAACAAAAGACAAAAAAGGAAAAAUAUAGCGAGCUUUUUUGGGAUGAAGAUGUAGUAAAGACCGAACGUCAGUUUUAGUCGGAUAUACUUUAAUGUUAGUCUUACAUGUUGUUCUGGAACUCAUUCCUCAUUUAUUCGUCAAGUGAUCAUCAUUUUAUAUUGUUAACGUUUCAUUGCGUACAUCGCUUAAUGUGCGCCAGUUUUAGGAGUUUUAUACAGGACAGUGUAGGAAUCCAUGUUACUUUCCCCUUUCUCUGAAUAACGAAAACUGCUCAGCGGGUCAUGUGCACAACUACAAGGAACAUUCAGCGGACAGUCACACGUUCUUCUUCUUCUUCCGGUAAGCGGCCACCGUCAACUGGUUGUCCAAAGGAACAAUUCAUGGCUAACCACAGCGUGAGUUACAUUUAAAACAUUACAAAUUUUGUAUUUACAUCAGCCAUGAACUGUUUUAAUAUCUUUUCUUAUGUUAUAAAGAAAUUAUGAACAUUUUACCGUUCAAACUGUUCGUAUCUGAGAUGUUACAACUUAAUUCCAGACAGAACCCGAC
rnacentral:lncRNA from 1 species